rnacentral:lncRNA from 1 species
UGAACUCUUGUGAAUGAUCAUGGUGCCCAAAUUCUCAAGAAUGGCCACCAUCUAUAGCUCAAUGAAUGCCUUUGACUGGCUUGACCUAUGAUUGCUUCCUCUGCAAGUAACAAAGUUAGAUGACAAUAUUUUUGUACUUUUGGUUAGUAAACAAAUGAAAAUCAAUGAUAUGCAAAUGCACAACAUGCUUGGUGAUCAAGAACCACUCUCAAAAGAUAACCCACCCCCAGGGAAAGGAAGCAAGGUGUACAAUGAUCCUUGAG